GGCGAACGGGUGAGGAACACGUGAGAAACCUGCCUUUCAUUCUGGGAUAACACCGGGAAACCGGUGCUAAUACCGGAUACUCCGUCUUGGCGGCAUCGCCGAGCCGGGAAAAAAUUUUGAUGAAAGAUGGUCUCGCGGCCUAUCAGCUAGUUGGUGAGGUAACGGCUCACCAAGGCGACGAUGCGUAGCCGACCUGAGAGGGUGAACGGCCACACUGGGACUGGGACACGGCCCAGACUCCUACGGGAGGCAGCAGUAGGGAAUCUUCCGCAAUGGGCGAAAGCCUGACGGAGCAACGCCGCGUGAGUGACGAAGGUCUUCGGAUCGUAAAGCUCUGUUGCCAAGGAAGAAAGAGCGCUAGAGGGAAUGCUAGUGCAGUGACGGUACUUGAGAAGAAAGCCCCGGCUAACUACGUGCCAGCAGCCGCGGUAAUACGUAGGGGGCAAGCGUUGUCCGGAAUUAUUGGGCGUAAAGCGCGCGCAGGCGGUUUGUUAAGUCUGAUGUGAAAGGCAGGAGCUCAACUCCUGUUAGCAUUGGAAACUGACAGACUGGAGUGCAGCAGAGGAAAGUGGAACUCCACGUGUAGCGGUGAAAUGCGUAGAGAUGUGGAGGAACACCAGUGGCGAAGGCGACUUUCUGGGCUGUAACUGACGCUGAGGCGCGAAAGCGUGGGGAGCAAACAGGAUU
rnacentral:rRNA from 1 species